rnacentral:rRNA from 1 species
GAUGUUCUAACGUUGACCCGUAAUCCGGGUUGCGGACAGUGUCUGGUGGGUAGUUUGACUGGGGCGGUCUCCUCCUAAAGAGUAACGGAGGAGCACGAAGGUUGGCUAAUCCUGGUCGGACAUCAGGAGGUUAGUGCAAUGGCAUAAGCCAGCUUGACUGCGAGCGUGACGGCGCGAGCAGGUGCGAAAGCAGGUCAUAGUGAUCCGGUGGUUCUGAAUGGAAGGGCCAUCGCUCAACGGAUAAAAGGUACUCCGGGGAUAACAGGCUGAUACCGCCCAAGAGUUCAUAUCGACGGCGGUGUUUGGCACCUCGAUGUCGGCUCAUCACAUCCUGGGGCUGAAGUAGGUCCCAAGGGUAUGGCUGUUCGCCAUUUAAAGUGGUACGCGAGCUGGGUUUAGAACGUCGUGAGACAGUUCGGUCCCUAUCUGCCGUGGGCGCUGGAGAACUGAGGGGGGCUGCUCCUAGUACGAGAGGACCGGAGUGGACGCAUCACUGGUGUUCGGGUUGUCAUGCCAAUGGCACUGCCCGGUAGCUAAAUGCGGAAGAGAUAAGUGCUGAAAGCAUCUAAGCACGAAACUUGCCCCGAGAUGAGUUCUCCCUGACUCCUUGAGAGUCCUGAAGGAACGUUGAAGACGACGACGUUGAUAGGCCGGGUGUGUAAGCGCAGCGAUGCGUUGAGCUAACCGGUACUAAUGAACCGUGAGG